AAUUACUUCCUUAUCUUUAAGCUCUGACGGGCCACACCCUGGGCCUGCCUUUGACCCCGGGCCGCACUUUUGACUUCCAGUGGGCUGUUGUCACGCUGGUUUAUGUAAGGCCCGACGGCAGGGUUAUGCCACCCAAUUCUCAAGGUGAGCGAUUCUACACUUCCAAGACCUGCAUUUCAAGGAGUGCGAGCCGGCGGUUCCGGGACGGGCGCCCACACGCCGCAGCGAUCUCCCUCGCCUCCUCCCUCCGCCUCACCUUGAUGCACCGCGCUGGACAUCGGAAGGGCUGUAGCGUCCCCAAAUAAGAAGCGGCCUAAGGCACGUAGGAUGCACUCGGGAAGCCGUAAAAACUAGUGGAGGGAAGGCCACGCCGGCCGCCGCAGGGGAAUGGCGGGAUCUCCUGCUAGGAAGAAGCGCGUCGACCGCCAGGUGUUCUCGCUUCUUUCGGCCGCAUUGCUGCCGCAUCCGGAAAGAUAUCCUUUUCCUUGAUGCGCGAAGAAGGAUAACUCUUCACCUUUCUUUAGAACAUUUAUUCUCUUUCAUGCUGAUUCCAUCUCCAUGUUCUUUGUUGUGCUACUCAAGAUGCGAGUUCUGCAUCUGCAUGUACAUCUAUUUUCGAUCGUGAGGAGAUGUGUGCGUACAUAUGUGAUGUACGUACAUAAAGAACCUAGAGUGCCCGGGGGUGGGACAAGGGGCAAGGUCAAGUGGAGGGCGGCAGUACCCAG